GCUGGGCAUGCUGGUGCGUGCCUGUAAUCCCAGCUAUUCAGGAGGCCGAGGCAGGAGAAUUGCUUGAACCCAGGAGGUGGAGGUUGCAGUGAGCCGAGAUCAUGCCACUGCACUCCUGCCUGGGUAACAGAGCGAGACUCUGUCUCAA
rfam:Pan troglodytes isolate Yerkes chimp pedigree #C0471 (Clint) chromosome 15, whole genome shotgun sequence.